rnacentral:rRNA from 1 species
UACGUAGGGUGCAAGCGUUAAUCGGAAUUACUGGGCGUAAAGCGUGCGCAGGCGGUUUUGUAAGUCUGUCGUGAAAUCCUCGGGCUCAACCUGAGAAUUGCGAUGGAGACUGCAAGGCUAGAAUCUGGCAGAGGGGGGUAGAAUUCCACGUGUAGCAGUGAAAUGCGUAGAGAUGUGGAGGAACACCGAUGGCGAAGGCAGCCCCCUGGGUCAAGAUUGACGCUCAUGCACGAAAGGCGUGGGGAGCAAACAGG